rnacentral:rRNA from 1 species
GACGAACGCUGGCGGCGUGCUUAACACAUGCAAGUCGAACGGAAAGGCCCUGCUUGCAGGGUACUCGAGUGGCGAACGGGUGAGUAACACGUGGGUGAUCUGCCCUGCACUUCGGGAUAAGCCUGGGAAACUGGGUCUAAUACCGGAUAGGAGCCAUUUUUAGUGUGAUGGUUGGAAAGUUUUUUCGGUGUAGGAUGAGCUCGCGGCCUAUCAGCUUGUUGGUGGGGUAAUGGCCUACCAAGGCGGCGACGGGUAGCCGGCCUGGGGGGGUGGACGGCCACAUUGGGACUGGGAUACGGCCCAGACUCCUACGGGAGGCAGCAGGGGGGAAUAUUGCACAAUGGGCGGGAGCCUGAUGCAGCGACGCCGCGUGGGGGAUGACGGCCUUCGGGUUGUAAACUCCUUUCGCUAGGGACGAAGCUUUUUGUGACGGUACCUAGAUAAGAAGCACCGGCUAACUACGUG